rnacentral:tRNA from 1 species
GGGCCCAUAGCUCAGCGGCAGAGCAACCGGCUCAUAACCGGCAGGUCGGAGGUUCGAAUCCCCCUGGGCCCA